rnacentral:rRNA from 1 species
GACGAACGCUGGCGGCGUGCUUAACACACGCAAGUCGAGCGGUAAGGCCCUUUCGGGGGUACGACGAGCGGCGAACGGGUGAGUAACACGUGGGUGACCUGCCCUCCAGCUCUGGGAUAAGCCUGGGAAACCGGGUCUAAUACUGGAUAUGACUCCAUGACGCAUGUUGUGGGGUGGAAAGCCUUGCGCGGCUGAGGAUGGGCCCGCGGCCUAUCAGCUUGUUGGUGGGGUGAUGGCCUACCAAGGCGACGACGGGUAGCCGGCCUGAGAGGGCGACCGGCCACACUGGGACUGAGACACGGCCCAGACUCCUACGGGAGGCAGCAGUCGGGAAUUUUGGGCAAUGGGGGAAACCCGUGACCCAGCAACGCCACGUGAAGGAUGAAGU